GCCUGGUUGGCUCAUUUGGAAGAGCACGUGAUUCUUGAUCUCAACAGUCGUGAGUUUGAGCCCCACAUUGGGUG
rnacentral:tRNA from 1 species